AUAAAGCUACUUAAGAUUCUAAUCCUAUGAUUAUUGUGAGAACUAAAAAGAAUAAUCAGUGAAUUUGAGAGAGAAAAGAGAGAGAUUACAUUACCUUCUUCAUAGGAAAGCCUUUCUUUCUUCUUCUGCAUUCCUCAAACUGUAUCUUCCCAAGAAACCCAACACAGAAGAAAAUCAAGAAGGUACUUACUUUGCAUCUUUCAUAGUUAUCUUUUAUUUACCCAUUUUGAAGGGUUUGUUAAUUCUUGUCUAUAUAUAGACAAACGCGUAUUUGUCCGUUUACAUAUACGUAUCUGCCUUUUUAAUUGUUUUUUAUGUCGGAGAAGUUUAGUGAAUUGUGGCGGAGAUGAAACUCGGAGCUCCGAGAAAGAAGUCGGGUUGGGUUAUGCUCCAAGUUCUUCUUCUGCAUCUCCUUGUUCAAAGUGUUCAUUCUCAGAACUCACGGUAUGUUUGCUCUUAACUCAAAGCUCUGUUUUUUCUCCACCCGGACCGGGCCGGGUCAUGUUUUCAUCCGUCUCCCUUUUUCUUACUUUUUAGUUGAAAAUAAUUUAUUGAGACACCACUUCUGAAAACCGUAAGGUUUUUAUGUAGUUCAUAGUCCAAAUUAAAGCUUCACAUUCAACAUAUCUGAUGUCUUCUAUUACAUUGUCAAAUGUGCCUCCUUUGCUGGAAAACCACCAUUGACCUGUAAAAUCAUUUUCUUCUUUGAAACUCCAUCCACAUAACACCAUCUCAUAGCUUCCAAAUAAUAAUGGAUUAAAACCUUAUAAAAUGCCUUCAAAAUCUUGCGUUUAAGAUGCAUUCAUUAUUUUCAUUUUAGAUCUAGUUGUAUUACAUAUAUAUAUAUACUAAUAAAUUUAUUGUUAUUAUAUUUACAUCACAUUUUUAAUUAUUUAUAUUAUCAAUGUAUUAGUUGGGGUAAAUUAUAUAUCUUAGUCAAAGAAUAUAAUAUUUCUCUUAUUUUGGUAAAUCAGUUUUUCUUCUUAAUUAAUUUUAUAAAGAAAGAUGAAAAAAGGUUAGGCAACAAAAAGUCACACCUGCAACAUUAAGAUGGUCUAGAUCAAUUACGUACGCGCACACAUUUAGAUAUGCAGCAUAUACAUAUACGUAUGUAUAUAUAUAUGUACUCCUCCGAUCCCCACCUCUUAUUGUAGAUUCUGGAGAUUUAUAAAGCUACUUAAGAUUCUAAUCCUAUGAUUAUUGUGAGAACUAAAAAGAAUAAUCAGUGAAUUUUACAGAGAAAAGAGAGAGAUUACAUUACCUUCUUCAUAGGAAAGCCUUUCUUUCUUCUUCUGCAUUCCUCAAACUGUAUCUUCCCAAGAAACCCAACACAGAAGAAAAUCAAGAAGGUACUUACUUUUCAUCUUUCAUAGUUAUCUUUUAU
rnacentral:lncRNA from 1 species